AUAUAGCAGUAUUAACAUCUUGCAAGGUAACGGCUGAAGAGGACCUUAAUUGGUCCUAGAACGGCCUGAGGUAGAGGGGUUUUAGUCGGUAGGUCCGAGGACUUCUUGCUCGGGAAUCCGACACUACCCAGUCGUACGGACGGCUGGGUGUCUUUUGAAGAUUUCCCCUCUUCCACGAAA
rfam:Agrilus planipennis Contig43921, whole genome shotgun sequence.